rnacentral:rRNA from 1 species
UACAGAGGGUGCAAGCGUUGUUCGGAAUUACUGGGCGUAAAGGGCGCGUAGGCGGCCUGCUAAGUCGGACGUGAAAUCCCUCGGCUCAACCGAGGAACUGCGUCCGAUACUGGUGGGCUUGAAUCCGGGAGAGGGAUGUGGAAUUCCAGGUGUAGCGGUGAAAUGCGUAGAUAUCUGGAGGAACACCGGUGGCGAAGGCGGCAUCCUGGACCGGUAUUGACGCUGAGGCGCGAAAGCUAGGGUAGCAAACGGG